UAACGCGUGGAUAACCUGCCGUAUACCGGGGGAUAACACUUAGAAAUAGGUGCUAAUACCGCAUAAGCGCACGGCUCCGCAUGGGGCAGUGUGAAAAACUCCGGUGGUAUACGAUGGAUCCGCGUCUGAUUAGCUAGUUGGCGGGGUAACGGCCCACCAAGGCAGCGAUCAGUAGCCGGUCUGAGAGGGUGGACGGCCACAUUGGGACUGAGACACGGCCCAAACUCCUACGGGAGGCAGCAGUGGGGAAUAUUGCACAAUGGGGGAAACCCUGAUGCAGCGACGCCGCGUGAGUGAAGAAGUAUCUCGGUACGUAAAGCUCUAUCAGCAGGGAAGAAAAUGACGGUACCUGACCAAGAAGCCCCGGCUAACUACGUGCCAGCAGCCGCGGUAAUACGUAGGGGGCAAGCGUUAUCCGGAUUUACUGGGUGUAAAGGGAGCGUAGACGGCAGCACAAGUCUGGAGUGAAAUCCCGGGGCUUAACCCCGGAACUGCUUUGGAAACUGUGCGGCUGGAGUGCAGGAGGGGUAAGCGGAAUUCCUAGUGUAGCGGUGAAAUGCGUAGAUAUUAGGAGGAACACCGGUGGCGAAGGCGGCUUACUGGACUGUAACUGACGUUGAGGCUCGAAAGCGUGGGGAGCAAACAGGAUUAGAUACCCUGGUAGU
rnacentral:rRNA from 1 species